AUGUACAUUCCUAUAGCAUAGUGUUAAUGCACCAUAUCCCAUUAGAGCUUUGUAGUUAAGCACACCCGGGAUAUAGUAGUACUGGGAUGGGUGACCACUCGGGAAGUCCUAGUAUUUUACAUG
rnacentral:rRNA from 1 species